GCCUAGCUAGCUCAAUCGGUAGAGCAGUUGACUCUUAAUCAAUUGGUUCGGGGUUCGAGUCCCCGGCUGGGUA
rnacentral:tRNA from 1 species